CCGGGUGUAGCGCAGUCUGGUAGCGCACUUGCUUUGGGAGCAUGGGGUCGCAGGUUCGAAUCCUGCCGUCCGGACCA
rnacentral:tRNA from 1 species